rnacentral:lncRNA from 1 species
AUGUUCAUUAGUCUCUCCAUGGAUCAGAAUGGAUUACCUAUCCUGCCCCAUGCAGUCCAUGAUCAGCUGUCCUCAGACCAGGUGAUUGGUACUGAACUACUUCUAGAAGGUAAUGAGAAUUUGCUAUCAUGUGACUUAUGCAGUAUUUCUCUGAUCCAAUCUAAUACUUUCUACCAUUUUAUUACCAAGUUUAUUGCCAAAGGGAUGUCAAUGGAAAUGGCUACUGUCACUUCCGGGCUGACAUACUGAAUUCCUGAGGCAGGCUCUUCCACGCUCUCAUUUCCUGCAGAAUGAACCAGGGAGCAUUGUGUUGAGAGGUAGGUGCCAUGAGAUUGAAGCAGCCUGGGAUUCUG